GUGUGUGUUCUACGUCGACCAGAAGCUCCCAAAGGAGCCAAACCCUAGCUCAAGCUUAUUUGCUCAAAUUGAAAGGGGAAUUCAACCCAAAUCUAAUGCAUGUACCCGAAUUCUUAGUCAUCUAGCCCUAAAGAUCACUUGAAUAGGAACCACACUAGCAUGGACCAAGCAUGGAAGGCUAACGGGUCAAGAUGAGGCAAGCAAGCGGGUAUGAACACAGAUGCACAAGGUGCGUAUGAUCAGACGUAUGGAUAUAUGAAUGCACGAAGUAGGAUUUAUCGUCUAUGAAAAGAAUGGGACAGGUAUGAAUGUAUACAUGGUUUCAAUACAUUUGAGUAUGGACAUUACUAAUGAUGUGCUUGAGAUGGAAAUGUAAUGCAGGAAUGAGAACGUCAGACUCUUGUAGAAUUGAAGCCAAACCUUGAAGCCGAACUCGGAACAAAGGAAUCCGAGAGGAUAGUCGAAUGAAUCAAAGUUUAUGUUGUCGAAUGUUAUAUGAUUUUUAAUUUGUAUCAGAUUAUUGUUGUAUGACGUUGUCAAUGACUAAUGGUUAAGUUGUAUGUGGCGUCCACAGGUACUACACGGAUUUCUUCUACUGCUAAGGAAGUGAAGCGGACGUAGAUCGAGUCAAGAGCAAGGAUUGUACGGAUAGAUCGGUCACAUAGUUGAAGUAUAUAAUGUCUAGAAAUCUAAAUUUUAGUAUGAAUGUUGUGAAUUCUUUUAUAGAACGUUUAACAUUUUUAGAAUUUGGAACCUUCGUGAAAGUAAUGUCGUUAAUAAGGAAAGAAAUUUUAA
rnacentral:lncRNA from 1 species